ensembl:lncRNA
CUGGGAGAUGUGUUUGGGUUAGGGGUUAGGGUCAGUGCUGGGAGAUGUGUUUGGGUUAGGGGUUAGGGUCAGUGCUGGGAGAUGUGUUUGGGUUAGGGGUUAGGGGUUAGGGUCAGUGUUGGGAGAUGUAUUUUGGUUAGAGGACAGGGGAUAAGGUUAGGGGUUAGGGUCAGUGCUGGGAGAUGUGUUUGGGUUAGGGGUUAGGGUCAGUGCUGGGAGAUGUGGGAUGUGUUCUCUGCGUUUACCUUAAAAGGAUAGUGCGAGAUUUUGGCAAUAAAGCGUUA